rnacentral:rRNA from 1 species
UACAGAGGUCUCAAGCGUUGUUCGGAUUCAUUGGGCGUAAAGGGUGCGUAGGUGGCGCCGUAAGUCAGGUGUGAAAUCCCGGGGCUCAACCCCGGAACUGCACUUGAUACUGCGGUGCUCGAGUACUGGAGAGGAGAUUGGAAUUUACGGUGUAGCAGUGAAAUGCGUAGAUAUCAGGAGGAUCACCUGUGGUGUAGACAGCUUACUGGACCAUCACUGACGCUGAGACACGAAAGCGUGGGUAGCAAACAGG